UCUAAUACCGGAUAACACUCUGUCCCGCAUGGGACGGGGUUGAAAGCUCCGGCGGUGAAGGAUGAGCCCGCGGCCUAUCAGCUUGUUGGUGGGGUGAUGGCCUACCAAGGCGACGACGGG
rnacentral:rRNA from 3 species